GACGAACGCUGGCGGCGUGCUUAACACAUGCAAGUCGAACGAAGCAUCCUUGACAGAGACUUCGGUCAAUAGAGGGGAAUGCUGAGUGGCGGACUGGUGAGUAACGCGUGAGGAACCUGCCUUUCAGAGGGGGACAACAGUUAGAAAUGACUGCUAAUACCGCAUGAUGCAUACGGGCCACAUGGUCUGUAUGCUAAAGAUUUAUCGCUGAAAGAUGGCCUCGCGUCCGAUUAGAUAGUUGGUGAGGUAAAGGCCCACCAAGUCGACGAUCGGUAGCCGGACUGAGAGGUUGACCGGCCACAUUGGGACUGAGAUACGGCCCAGACACCUACGGGAGGCAG
rnacentral:rRNA from 1 species